GUAACCAUAGAGCUCACUCGGCUAGCGCGGCACGAACCCAUGAGCCACGUGACCGAUGUGCCGCGAGCCUGCCGGCGAGCGCGCACGGAGCGCCCCUUAGGAGGCGAGUGUUUCCCUCCAAGGCCACUGUCGCGCUUCUGCCACGGGGUUCCCCCUUUCCCCCAGCACCAUUGAGGGGUUUAAUUUCUCCAGACCACCUGAUGAUCCACUAUAGCAGCAGGAGUUUGGAAGUUUGGAAUGUUUCAUUACUGAAUGAGAGCCAAGACCAUGAUGUUCACCCAUCCCCUGACUGAACAGAAGAGACCGUAGAUCAGAGAAGAGGAAGUGCUCAGAAUGAUGGAUUACCGAAGCCAACCAUUCGCUGUACCUCAUGGAUUUCCUGGAGCAGUUCCUCAUUCUUCAGCUCUAACUGUAUAGAAAAGAAGAGGCUCAAACAGGGACACAUUAACAAGUCUUAAAGCACCUAAGAUACAUCUUCCUAGAAUACUCUGGGCCUUGAAAGAGGAUUCAACCAACUAAUCCCACUUAGAGACUGUAAAGGAAAUAGAAAUAGCCUCUUUGUGAUCGUACCAAAUAUUUUCCUACUGCUGAUAUCAGAAGUGAUAUCACAUGCCAGCAAGAUGAUAGCAGCUGACAGCAGAAGCCUCAGUCACCUUUAAUUAAGUAUCUUGUUUUCAAAUAUAAUUCACACCUGAAAAAGGGCAAGUACGUCUCACCAUAGGAAUAUUCAGAACCCUCUGAUGAGAAAAAUAGAUGUCUUCCUUUUUAAUUGACAUCAGACCAUGAUCUGACCUCUGCAUCCUGCUUUUUUCCCCCAAACUAGAAGGGAUGAGAAAAAUACAAACCUUCAAUGCGUAUUUGUAAGACUGCUCUGCCUCCAACUGCCUUCCUCCCUGAAAAACACCAGUAGUCAGUGAGAAGCUUGUUUGACAGGACAAAAUCAGGUGUUUCAGCUACUGUCAAGAGACACAUUUUAACAAGGCUGGGUGACAGGAAUACCUCAGCUGUGCAAUAUUCAGUUGGAGAAAGGGUAAUGAGAAACAAAGGGGAAGAUUGUUUCUUUUGGCAUUAAAAUGCUUCCACAUUUUGUUUUUCCAGAAAACAAACCCCAAACCUAUCUAUAUUUACCAAUGGAAUCUAUGAGGCACCUUGUAGACAUAUAGACAGAUGUUGAUGUAGAUAAAGCAGAACAUGUUUCCUCACAUUUGAUCUUGAGAUAGGACACUCACUUGCAUGCAGACUAGCGCUAGAUAUGCCCACACUUCGGCAUUGUUGUUAUUCAGCGCAUUGGCCUCAGAGAGGGCAUCUUCUGCCUCCGCCAUUUCUUUCAGCUUUACAGAGAGAGAGAGAGAGAGAGAUGAGAGCAAAAACCGAACAGCAGGUGAAAUAUUGCCCAGAGUUUAACACGCACCUGGUAUACAACAGCUAAAGAAAUCAGUGUGACAAAAACCUUCAGAAACGAUCCUCACUCUAGGCUCCUUUGAAUUAUACAGUAAUAAUGACACAGUGUAACAAAUUUAGAGCAGAGGGAGUGAGACAACUGCAAUGUCAGACUCUCCAGCUCUCCUGACUGGAGGGCAAGCCCCUCAUUUACUGAUUUAGCCAGCCAGUAAUGGAGCCCAGUCCUCUUACAAAUUACCCAUGGACUAUUCUCAC